UACGUAGGGUGCAAGCGUUAAUCGGAAUUACUGGGCGUAAAGCGUGCGCAGGCGGUUGUGUAAGUCAGAUGUGAAAUCCCCGGGCUCAACCUGGGAAUUGCAUUUGAGACUGCACGGCUAGAGUGUGUCAGAGGGGGGUAGAAUUCCACGUGUAGCAGUGAAAUGCGUAGAGAUGUGGAGGAACACCGAUGGCGAAGGCAGCCCCCUGGGCCGAUACUGACGCUCAGGCACGAAAGCGUGGGGAGCAAACAGG
rnacentral:rRNA from 1 species